UCUGCAUGGUUAACUUCAAGCUUUUAGUUCGAAGUUCUUAGCUUUGUUGUGUUCAAAAUUUGGCAAAGUUCUGGCAAUUCCUUGGAAUUGACUAAAUAAUCCGAAUAAUAACUCAUGCAGCACUAAGACUUUGUCUUUUUGAUGCUGAUGAAACAUUAUUACUUCCGCUCAUCUUCCGAUUUCUUGGCCAUAAUUUACUUGCAAGCCACAAUCAUCUAACGGUAAGAUGGGGUCCGAAUUGAGUACCAGAUCGUACGCACUGCCUUUCAAGGAAAACACUAAAACCCCGAAACGGUGUGCCUCACGCUUUCCGGAGUACGAAAGCUUCCCGUUGCGGCUAAAAUCAUUCGAGAACACCCAGUGGGAUCCACGGGAAAUACGGCUGCUGGCGUUGGAAGGUUUCUUCAGUACCGGUUCUUCCAAAGAGGCGAAGUGUUUCUGCUGUGGACUGGUGGUGAACGCGAUCGGCAAUCCCAACCAUGAAUAUCAAAUUCACGAGAGAAACGGCGAGGAGGAUUGCGACUAUUUGGAAUUCUUCAAGGGUAAAGAAACUUGUUUUGAAAAGGGUGGAGGUGAAAAUGGGUGGAUUUCGUGUAAACAAUUGCACUGCAUUUUAUGCAAAUGGGAAUACAAAAUGAAAUAAAUUGCUCUUGCUAUCAGUGUACAUUUUAUUACGAAUCAAGUUGGAAUACAAAUGUUCUAUUGCUCUUAAAUGUAAAUCGAAA